UGUCACACCACCGAUCAUUCUGUGCCAGAGCUUAUUUACAACGCAAGAACAAGCCAAGGAAACAUGAGCGCGGUCCGUGACUUGGCACGCAGGCACUGUUUUCUUGUUUGAGUCCAUGAAGCAAAGCUGGGAGGCAGAAGUGUUGCUUUGGAAACAGAGUGGUUUUGAGAACACAGCUGUCCCAGAACAGGUGCAAGAAAAGCUACAGUCAAGGAUGCAUUCCAAUGUUGACUCAUCUCUUCCAGACACCUAUGUAAGCUAACAGGCUACGGAGAACUUCUGUUUCCACAAUCUCAGCACUAAGAAGCUGCUGUCUCUCCUCAUCAUCAAGGCUGCUCUGUGGAUCCUAUCUGUGGCAGUGCCAGGAAGCUUUUGGCAGGCCUUUUGCCCAGGAGCGUUCCAGGCUGUCUGUCUGAAGUCCAUGGGGUGAAGUGGUGAGACCACCUGGUCAGAGGCAGCCUGCUGGGCCUCAGCGUGGAAUCCUGGCUUCCCUCUAUCAUGUUUACAGAGCCGUGUCUGUCUGCUCAGCCUCCUAUGAGAUGAGAAUACCAGGCAGUCCUUAGUCACUCAGCAGUGAGUUCUGGUAAUUUUCCUCUGGGAGAAAGAGGGCUGGUUGCCAGCCUUAGAUUGUGUUCCCUCUGCUAUCCUCUCUGCUGUCAGCUGAUGAAAUAGGACUUUUGAUUUC
rnacentral:lncRNA from 1 species